ACAUUGGCCAUAUCACGCUGUUUCCUGUACGAUCACCGAAGUUAAGCAAAGUCGAGCCUGGUCAGUACCUAGAUUGGUGACAGCUUGGGAAUACCAAGUGCCGUAAG